CCGCCUCAUAACAUCGAUAACAACGCGACAGGACCGCAUUUCAAAAAAUAGCAGAAGAACACGUCAAGCCACGUGAGACACAGGACGGUUUCAGAAACCAGGCGGCGGGCUGCUGCUGCUGCUGCCUCUGAAUGUUAACGUCGUCUCACAGAAUCUGGGCUCUGUGAUGAAAACGCCUCCAAUACUGAGCCGACAUCAUGAUGAUUCAUGUUCCAGUGAAUCUCUCCAGCGUUCCCGGGCCUUAGAAGCGCUGAGUGUCUCGACCCAUUAUUACCGGGGAGAUCGUCCAGCAGCUUCUCCUUUUCCUGCUAACUUUGUUUGGGAUUUUCUGACCAAAUCGACAGCUGUCAGAGCCGCUGAUCCACUCCCUCCUCAGUCCAAGUUGACAGAAGAUCAUCUCGAGUCAAGAUAACACUCCUUAUCUUACUCCACAGGUAGGCUUAACUUCAGACAGUAACACUUCCAGUUUAAAGAAAAAGUUGGAACACUGACAAUAGCGGCAAAAAUGUUGGAAAAAGUGACAGAAACAUAAUUUUGCAUUUAAUCCCCAAACUAAACCCCUUUUUUAAUCACACUUUUCAUCUUUAAAUGUGUGGGCAGCAGUGAGCGGUAGCCGCAGAAAUGUUAAGGAACAUUGAGGAAUAAAGCCUUUCUAAUGACACUUACACGGUGCACACAGCUUUAUUUAUAGCUGACUGGCUGCAAUCAGCAGCCCCCUCAGGGCCGACGGUAGUUUUUACCUCAGCCACGGGCUGUUAGACAGCCCAUCAACGGGACUGACAGCUGCCGGGGCUGGAGCCUCGCCAACGGAGGGGGCGGAGGCUGAGUCGAACAAGGACACGAGCUGCACAUAACAGCUUCAAAUCCAGGUUGUUUCUCUGUUUUUUUAAAUCUUAAAGGGUAACUUUGUUUUUUUUUUCUACACUAUUUUCCUGUGUGGUUGUGUCUAAGUGACUGAUGGGAAGAACAAUCUGUAUAGUAUUAAGCGACAUCGCUGCAGUCGGCGGCAGCAAAACCAGCUACGAUGUAAGUUACUGGGCAAUUGCACACCUUGAUUCAUUUCAUUUACGUCCACAAAAGUGCUUGCUUUGCCACUGAAAGGCUCAGAUUUAAACACAUAGUUAAUGUGUCUAUGCAACAAAAAUACUUAGUUAGGUUUAGGCAACAACACACUAGGUCGAUUGCCGAUCCCAAAACGACAUGUAUGACUAUUCAACGCUGUAAAAUGGCUGCAUGGUGGCCGUUUUAAACUCGUUGCCAUAACACGUGUCUUAAUCAUUACAAUCGUCACAGUUUGAAACACAUAGUUAAUGUUGUGAAAACGUAAUUACUUCUGUUAGGCAACAAAACUGAUUGGUUAGAGUUAGGACAAGCUCAUGGAUUGGCGUAAAAUGAGUCACGGACAUAACUAAGUCCGUACCAAAAAAACCCCUCUCUGUUCCCUUUUCCCUCAUCCAUGCUCUGCUGGGCCACGCUACAUCCUGUAACGCCCUGCAGCGCCCUGAUAUGACAUGAA